UACGUAGGGGGCGAGCGUUGUCCGGAUUUAUUGGGCGUAAAGAGCUCGUAGGCGGUUUGGCAAGUCGGGGGUGAAAACUCCGGGCUCAACUCGGAGACGCCACUCGAUACUGCCAUGACUCGAGUCCGGUAGGGGAGUGCGGAAUUCCUGGUGUAGCGGUGAAAUGCGCAGAUAUCAGGAGGAACACCGGUGGCGAAGGCGGCACUCUGGGCCGGUACUGACGCUGAGGAGCGAAAGCGUGGGGAGCGAACAGG
rnacentral:rRNA from 1 species